rfam:Picea glauca, whole genome shotgun sequence.
GAUUCUUAGCAACGAAUAUCUUGGCUCUUGUCACGAUGAAGAACGUAGCGAAAUGCGAUACUUAGUGUGAAUUGCAGAAUCCCGUGAAUCAUCGAGUUUUUGAAUGCAAUUUGAACACAUUGUAUUGCAAUGUGUUGUGUUAUGGUGUCU